AGAUAAUAUUAGUUUAUUAUUUCAGUUUAAAGUUCUUAUCAAUCUUUUAUCUAAAGACUGUAACCAGUGUGAGUACUAACCUAUUCUGUUUAGGUUAAGUUGAUAGGAAGGCUUAAUUAUGUUUUAAUAUAAGAUGGCGAUCCUAAGGGAAACCUUAUUAUUAUUACUUCCUGAAACAAAACAUUGUAGUAAGGAAAGGAAAGGAAAUCAACUGAGACUCUGAAAGUAACGGCGAGUGAAAUCAGACUAGCCAAAUCCUCAAAUAUCUAAGCUAUUAUUAAUUAUACGUAGGCCGUAUAUUCAUCUUUAGCCCCUCUCAUCUUAAAUGAUAGGGGCAGAUAAUAAGUAAUAUUAUAUUAAUGAUAUUAUUUAACCAUAGAAGGUGAUAGUCCUGUUAUAGCUAAAAAUUAAUAAUUAUUAAAAAAUAAUACAACUUAAUUGUAAUAUUAUUAAGAUGAUAUUUGUUGAAAUAUAAGUACAACGGAAGAUACUCUGUUGGAAUAUAAGGGGAACCAUCCUCUAAGGCUAAGUAUUAUAAAUUUAGCGAUAGUGAAUAAGUACUGUAAAGGAAAGUCAUGUUUUGAAUAAGAGUUAGUUUUAACUCUUGACUAGUUAUUCUUAAUUUUUUUUUAAAUUAUUAAGAUAUAAAUGUUAUAGUGAACUUAAAAAAUAAGUAUGAAAUAGUAGCUCUAUAAGCAAUUAGAAUUUAACUUAAUAUAUUUAACGUUAAAUGAUAAUGUACCUUUUGCAUAAUGGGUCAGCAAGUUAAUAGUAGUAGCAAGGUUAAAAUCCCUAGCGAAAGCGACUGUUUCUGAUUAAGAAUCGGGUUGAGUUACUACUAUUAGACCCGAAAUGAGGUGAUCUUGCCAUGAUCAGGUUAUAAUGGACCGAACGGGUGAAUGUUGCAAUAUUCUCCGAUGAAUUGUGGUAAGUAGGUGAAAGACUAAUCAUACCUCUAUAGCUGGUUUUCCACGAAAGAUAUUUAAGUAUCACAUCAUUCUAAAAUUUUUAGAUUUAGGAGGGUACAGCACGUUGAAUUUCAGACGAAAGUCAAAUUGGGGGGCCUUGAAAUCCUACCUUUGAAAAUUAACCUCGGAAUAUCCUAAAUUGAUGAAUGAUAGUCAGACUAUUCAUGAUAAGGUGGGUAGUCAAAACGUAAACAGACGUGAGCACGUGUUUAAGGUUCCCCAAAACCGUUUAAGUGAAAUUAAGGAAGUUUUCCCCUGGAUACAACUAUUAAGUUAGCCUGGUAGUCGCGAUCUUUUAAAGAGUGUGUAACAACUCAUUAGUCUAAGUUGGGGGAAAGCGCCGAAAAUUUAACGGGUCUUAAAACGGUUACCGAUACCGUGCUAUUUUAAUUAUAUUAUUCUAGUAUAAUUGGAAUAGGUAGUGGAACAUUCAGAGCGGACGAAAAAUAGUGUUUCAUUAUUUGGACGUAACUGAAGAGAUAAUGCUGACAUGAGUAACGUAGAAAGAAGUUAUAAUACUUCUCGCCGAAUACGAAAGGGUUAUUAAGCAAGGUUAAACCUCUUAAUGUGAUAUCGGUCUCUAAGGUUAUAGACGAAUGUUUAAACUGAUGAGUGUUUGUUCAAAUUUUUCAGUUGCUUGGUGUUAAGUUAGCAAAAAUUGUUUAAUCUUUAUUUGUUAACGACUUGAGUUGAGCUAGAAGCUUUAGCAACUGAACUUGAAGAAUAGUAGACAAUCAGGAUCGACUAGCGUUAAUAAUAAUCGUAACUAUUUACUUAAAACGGUAAAUGGUUAUUAUUAAUUACUAAAAUUAUUGAAUUAAAUUAAUUAUAAUUAUUGUUAAUAUUAUUAGAUAAUACAGUCAGUAUUUUAGUUUAUAUUAAUUGUUUUAAUUAUAUUUAUAAUUAUAAUCUUUUUUUUUAUAAUUGGUUAUAGUUCUUAUUAGCUAUGAUUCGCGAUGUUGUAGCAGGAUCCUGCAUAGUAAAAUCCUUUUAAUCUAAGGAUCUACUAUGAUUGAUACCGUACCCUAAACCGACACAGGUUCGUAGGUAAAGAAUACUAAGGCGAAGAGAUAAUACUUGUAAAGGAACUCGGCAAACUUUCCUCAUAAGUUAGACGACAUGAGGAGCCGUCUAAAGGACGGUGGCACAGAAUCGGAACCCCCGACUGUUUACUUAAAACACAGAUAUCUGCGAUGAUUAAAUUAUUUGUAUAGAUGUCGAAUUUUGCCCAAUGCCAUUAAUAUAAAGAAGGUGAGUUUAAUUUACCGACUGAAAAUCUGGUCAAUGGCGGUCUUAACUAUAAGGAUCCAAAGGUAGCAAAAUUCAUUGUCCGCUAAAUACGGUCCUGCAUGAAUAAAGUAACGAUGGGUUCACUGUCUCUACAAGUAUCUCAGUGAAAUUGAAAUAGCCGUGCAGAUGCGGUUUGCUUAUGGUUAGACGGGAAGACCCUAUGCAACUUUACUGUAAAUUGUUAUCAUUUUUUUUUAAUAUAGGUGUAGCAAUAUAAGGCAAUCGACAAGAUAAAAGUGAAAGACCUUAACUAUUAUUAAUUAAAUAUUAACCCCGAGGGCGAGAAACGCUGUUAUUAAAAUAGUAUGAAACUAGUUAUAAUUACCUUAUUUAAUAAUAGCAAAUGACGUUAAUAGGGAGAUAUAUGACAAUUUGGCAGUUUGUCUGGGGCGGACGUCUUUAAUAGAGUAUCAAAGACACCCAAAAUUUAAUUAUAUUUUUAUAUUUAUAUCUUUCUAUAUUAACUGUUACUUUGUUAACUAUCACUCAGCCCCAUCUUUCACUUUUUCAUUUCUCACUUUUCAUUUAAGAUGAGUGGGAGAUGAGUGGAUGAGAGGGUGAUGGUGAGUGAAAGAAUAUUAAUAAAUAUAUCAAUAUUUUUAUUAUGUAAAGUUAACAAUUUAAAGGUUUGCUAAAAUCGGAUGGAGACCGAUUAACUAUGUAUGGUUAAGAAGGUGUAAUGGCUAAAGCAAGCUUGACUGAGUGACCAAUAAGUCAAACAGAUACGUAAGUAGGGCAUAGUGACCCGGCGAUAUAUUAUGGAAUAGUCGUCGAUAAAUAGAUAAAAGUUACGCUAGGGAUAACAGGUUAGUCGCGGUUGAGAGUUCAUAUGGACACCGCGGUUCGACACCUCGAUGUCGACUCAUCCUAUCCUCCGGGUGUAGGUGCUUGGAAGGGUUCGGCUGUUCGCCGAUUAAAAGGGUACGUGAGUUGGGUUCAUACGACGUGAGUCAGUAUGGAUCCUAUCUUCCAUAAGGAAAAAAAGUCAAAGGGGAAGGGCCUCUCAGUACGAAAGGAUCAGAUGGCUGUGUUUCUAUAGUGUACCAAUUGUUAGAUCGGUAUUAGUUUAAAGGAACUGUUAUGUUUAUUAGUUUUCUUGCUUUUUAAGCUAAAUAAUGUAUUAUUAAAUAGAGCGUUAAAAUUCUAGUAUGCUUAUAAUUAAUAAGUUUAAAGUAUUUAAUAUAGGUUAUGUAAUUAAUAAUUUUACAAAGAAUUUAUACAAAGUAGAAGAUCUGGCAUCGUUGGGUAGCCACAAACAUAACGGAUAAGAGCUGAAAGCAUAUUAAGCACGAAACCGUUCCCUAGAGACUAAUAAAACAAUUUAUAAUUAGCUGAUAAGUUACAUAAUUUAACAUUAUUCUAAUGAAUUACUCAUUAAUUUUGGAUAAUAGUUUAAUUAUUUAAUGUCUCCUAUACAAAAAUUAAAAA
rnacentral:rRNA from 1 species